rfam:Triticum aestivum genome assembly, contig: Triticum_aestivum_CS42_TGACv1_scaffold_051768_1BS
AACAUACUCCCUCCAUCCUAAAAUUCUCAUCUUAGAUUUGUCUAAACACGAAUAUAUCAAGUCAUGUUUUAGUAUUAGAUACAUCUAUAUCUAAGCAAAUCUAAGACAAGAAUUUUGAAACGGAGGGAGUACAUU